AUGGUUGUAAAGCACUUUAAGCGAGGAGGAGGCUACUUUAGUUAAUACCUARAGAUAGUGGACGUUACUCGCAGAAUAAGCACCGGCUAACUCUGUGCCASCAGCCGCGGUAAUACAGAGGGUGCKAGCGUUAAUCRGAUUUACUGGGCGUAAAGCGUGCSUAGGCGGCUUAUUAARUCSKAUGUGA
rnacentral:rRNA from 1 species